rnacentral:rRNA from 1 species
CCUACGGGUGGCUGCAGUGGGGAAUCUUGCGCAAUGGACGAAAGUCUGACGCAGCCACGCCGCGUGAGUGAAGAAGGAUUUCGGUCUGUAAAGCUCUGUCGAGCGGGACGAACGGCUACAGGUAACGCUGUAGUUUGACGGUACCGUUAGAGGAAGCACCGGCUAACUCUGUGCCAGCAGCCGCGGUAAUACAGAGGGUGCAAGCGUUGCUCGGAAUCAUUGGGCGUAAAGGGUAGGUAGGUGGUCUGAUUUGUCUGGGGUGAAAGCCUUGAGCU